rnacentral:lncRNA from 1 species
CUUCUUCCAAUAUACUCCACUUUCAUACAUUUUGAAUAUAUGAAAUGAUUUCUCAUUAAAGUCAUGAGAAAUAGUGGGAGGUGUGAAAAUGGAUAUAAACUUGAAUAUGAUUGGUUUAUAGUUGUCUAAAGAAUAAUAGUACUUGACUAUUAUUAAGAGUUUGCAAUUUUAAUUGUUAAAAGACUCAAGCUCUUCAAAACGUUAAAAUUCUAUGUUGUGUGACAUUCUAAAGAAUAGUCUUUGAAUGUUGGUUUCGUCAACCUAGCAUAAAAUGGUUAUAUGUUU